UUAUGUACAUAGUUGUUUAACUCGCCAGUGCGAGUAGCCUUGUAUUUUGGAUUCUAGCUAUGUAUAUGAAACUCAGUUAUUUAGUUUUUGAGCGGCUCUAUGCUACUGUUUGUAGUAUCGUUUUUCUACAGGUUCUUUGACGCUUCGUAUACAGGGAAAAUUCCUUUGUAUACGGCGGAUCUGUCGGCGUGCCCGGGGAACGUGAUAUCCGGGUCGUGACAGAUUAAGUUGGUAUCAGAGCUUUGCUAUAGGUCGUUGGGACCUAGGAAACCUAAGUUUGGCAAACCUUAGGAAAGCAAGACGCGAGAGGCGUGAUAUUAAUUGCGAAAGUCAAUGAUUAUUUGUUCUAACUCCUCCUAGAGUGGGGUGAGUGAUUGAAGGAGUACCUGUUUUGGCCUGAGAAAUUAUGUUGGCUGCAGACGACAUAAUUUUGGAGGGAAACAGGGACCGCCUUCCAGACUUUCGUUUGAUUGGGUCGAGAGUGUUUUGUCGUAUCUGACCUCGAUUUGUUCCUUUCAGCUAUGUACCGUCGCCGAGGUCGACCGUCAUUGCGGGAUCGUGCGGGACCUCCUGAGAGACCUGAGCAGAUGGAGCAGAGUACUCGACAGGAGCAGGGUGAUAGACCAGAGGCGAGUGCACCCCCUGUUGUGGAGCCGAGUGCGCGACCUAAGGCACCCCCGGAUCUGAGUGCACAGCUGGCUGCCCUGACUGAGGUGACGAGGCAGCA
rnacentral:lncRNA from 1 species